rnacentral:misc_RNA from 1 species
UAUUGUAAAGUUUUAGAAGAGGACUUCGCACACGUUCACGUUCGUGAAUGUGAAUAUUACUGUCAAAAGAUUGUGUCAAAUUCAAUAUUCAGACGUAAAAUUAUAAUUCUAUAAUCAGUGCCGUGUGUGCUCAUCGAUCGCAAUAUAUUUUAUCAACGUCCGGGGCAAGUGUUCAUCGCAAUCUCUUUGGAUUCUCCGCUCUCUGACGAUUCUCUUUUUUAUUUAUUUUUUUUUUUUUCCUUAUUUUCGCGAUUGACAAACGUCCAGAUUUUCACAAGCCCACCACUCGAUCGGAGUCCUAGUGAAAACGAUCGGAAAAUCUCUGCGUCACUCAGAUGCGGACAGCAUACUUUUCGGAGGGAUCAAAUCUCGACUCGAUACAUCGUUUACAUGAAGUUUCCGAAUAUCGCGGAGGUUCGUUGAGAAGAAGAGGGUUUCUGCGGGAAUUGAGACCAUAAUGCCGAUUACGGGGGUACGGUGACGUCAGUGAUUUCUCGCUUAGCGGGCUUCAAAGGUCUUCGGGAUCCUCGUCUCUAUUUCUCCUUGUAUUUCCGUCAGCCAUUUUCCUACGAUAAUCGUACAACCCACUUUCCCUUCGUCAAUACCAAAGUAACACGGUGACGCAGGUAGUCGUUCACCUAGCGGUCAUCGAAGAACGGAACGGAGACGAGAGGACGAAAAAUAAUUGGCAUAUUCACCGGUCGGAUAGUCGAAAGAAUUGGUCGGAAGCUGGAUCACCUUCGAGGA